GCUUGCCUGUGGCUCAGUCAGUAGAGCAUUGCAUUUGCAACACAAAAGGUUGUGGGUUCAAACCCGAAUGAAAGCA